AACUAGCCCCGGUUACAUGCGCGCGCGUCCCUGUGGACUGAUGCUCAGCCAAUCGCACGCGAGCGCGUGAGGGAGGAUCGAGAGCGCGCCAGAGAGAUCUGCCAGACCAGCACGCGCUCCGGUCCCUCAACGCAGGAAUCAGCUGUCAGCACACAUACACCGUCCUAAUAAAGUCAGAGGGAGUCCGAGCCUGUAUUUACUGCUGAUGAACAUGGAGCAAAACGCUGUGAAAACCAUCCCAUCAGAGUGCUGAGCUGUCACCCAGGCCUCGAAGAGAAGUUUUACUAGAGCCGCUCACUGUAACACAGCCUGUGUGCUUUAAUAUUCCUCACUGAUCUGCUCUUCUCGCACCGUGCUGAAGAGGGUGGCGUUUCCUGUCACGUUCCAGCUGGAAAUAGCUGCUUUUUUCCCGUCUGAGCUUUCAGCAAUUAUCUCAGACACCUGAAUAUGAAGCUGCUUGUGCAAUUAGCCACAGAAGAGUGUGUCACAGCAUGU